rnacentral:rRNA from 1 species
UACGUAGGGUGCAAGCGUUAAUCGGAAUUACUGGGCGUAAAGCGUGCGCAGGCGGUUAUGUAAGACAGAUGUGAAAUCCCCGGGCUUAACCUGGGAACUGCAUUUGUGACUGCACAGCUGGAGUGCGGCAGAGGGGGAUGGAAUUCCGCGUGUAGCAGUGAAAUGCGUAGAUAUGCGGAGGAACACCGAUGGCGAAGGCAAUCCCCUGGGCCUGCACUGACGCUCAUGCACGAAAGCGUGGGGAGCAAACAGG